GCCCCUCCACGAUCCCUACACAGGUCGCCGCACACCACCGCCACCGCCGCUGUGAAUCCCCGGGGACACCGCACGCCACCGCCGCCGCGAAUCCCCAGGGACGCCGCACGCCACCGCCGUCGCGAAUCACCAGAGACGCCGCUCGCCGCCGCCGCGAAUCCCUAGGGAUGUCGCCGCCACCGCCACGGAUCCCCAAGGGCUUGGUCGCAUUGCCCUGAUUGGAGGAGACCCUGCCGGCCUUGCCUUGUUUGAAGGACCGUGUGCGUCAAUCCCGACCUCUGCUUUCCCCCUUUUCCACCAAGGAUCGCCGCCGCUGCUUCGUCUUCUAUCUCUCCGGAUCCCCAUCAGCACCUGCUGGAUGGUGCUCCAGAACAGGGCCGCACGGAGGCCCUCCUCCCGUAGGAUGUGCAGACGCGGCGCGCCUUGCAGCGGCUGUUCGGAAUGAGCGCGGGCGCGACAACCUUGUCCCAGUCGACGAUGGCGGCGGCGAACACCGGUGCUCCUUCUCGUCCUCUACCUCCAAGGAAGCGCACCGGUACAGCUCAGGCACCCCCGUCCCCAAAUCCCGUCCACCCAUCCGAUGUUGUCCAGCUCAUCCUCACGCUCGUGGAUUCGCCUCCUCCUAUACACGACACUUGAAACAUGGACGUGGUGGAGGUAGUCAUGCUGGCGCCACUGUUUUGCUUCGUGCUGAUGUGGUAUAAAAGUGCCUCCUCGGCAGAUGAGGACCUGAGCGUGGCCGUGCUAAUGAGGAUGCAGGAUCCACCGCCACCGGCCAGUCCGAGUGAUUGCAGAGAACUUGGCAGGCAGAUCAAUUACGAGGAGGUCAAGGCUGAGCUGAAGUGGGGUGGGUGCCAACAUGAAGGAGUUGGAGAUAUCUCUAUUUUUGUCAGUCAUUAUUCAGGCUCUAAGCAUCCCCUUUCCCUAUACCACAUUACUUGAUAUUAUUAAAUUCAGUACUCUUACUCAACUGUGAACAAGUUCAUGUGGUAAGUAGGAUCAACAAGAGUUGGCUGGCAACUGCUAUGUAUAUGUUAUUAUGGAUCAGCCAAGGUGGUUAAAUUUUAAGUUUUUUCCUUUUUCUUAAUUUAUGCCCUUAAGUUUAUGUUGUUAAAUGCAUACACAUAACUUAGUUCCAGAUUUAACAAGAGUACAUUUUCCAAUGAACUUCAUAGCUGAUGUUGAUCAUAAUUAGUAAGUGUACAAAGCAUUUCAAGGAAUUUCUGUCUUGUGCAUAUUGUAUAUUGCAGACUUGCAGUGAAGUAGUGCCAUCUAAGUACCAGAUGUAUGUUAUUUUCAAAUAAGCUUUUCUUAAAAUGGAAAAUACUAAAAAGCAAAUUGUGCCACACCGUGCAAUUAAGGUGCCUUUUACUGGAAACUCAAUGCAACUUCUUGUUAUUUUCAAAUAAGCUUUUCUUAAAAUGGAAAAAUACUAAAAAAGCGGAUUGUGCCACACCGUGCAAUUAAGGUGCCUUUUACUGGAAACUCAAUCCGACUUCUUGUUAUUCCUUCUGAACGUAGCAAUUAAGCCAUAUCUUGUUUUCACUCCUUCUGAACCUAGCAAAAUGACCUGCUUGGACCGAACGAGGACAGGUGUGUGGUGGUGGACAUAAGAUGCACGGCGAACAUUGAGCCGCAGAAGAACAUUAUGAAAGAGGUUGGAGAGGCUGGAGGAGACCAUAUACCAACACAAAGCGCAUCUUGAUGGCCAUCAAUGAGGAGCCGGACCUGCUACACCAGGCUAAUUGCAAGCAUCGGGAUGAUUUGGACGAGAUGACUGAUGAGGACAUGAGCGUUGUCGGAUGACUUGGACGAGAGGACUGUAGCAUGACGCAAUGAAGAGCCAGAUCGUCCGUCCGCUCCCAGCUCACUUCCCAGUUCUGUUGUGCUGCCCCGUGCACCAACCAUCCAGUAAAGACAUGAGUACUUUAUCAUCUUUCCAGGAAGAAAUUACUAGAGAGAAGAGAACUCAGUUUUAUAAGCAAUGAUAGUCCAACAUCAUAUUGACACGUCUGGUUUCUCUUUCCACAAGCAGGGUCGAGUGGGUUGAAAAUAAAUGCUGGAAAAGAUAUUAAAAUUCAAAUCUGGCUUAUUUUUCUCAAUAUGGGUUCAGAAGGAAAUUGUCGUUGAGCUUCUAUCUAAAGGCACUUUUUCAUUAGAUUUCAGCAGCGGCUGAUGGUAGCAACCUCAUGGGCCACACAUCCCCUUCUUUAAUUGCAUGCCCUCACAAAAUGGAUGGGGACUUGGUUCUUUGGUUGUCGCCGCUGGACUCGGUGAAGGACGAAAAACUGAGAUGAUCCAGUGGAGAAUAGAUGCCACGGGCUGAAGAAAGGAGGCGACGGUUUCAGAGCACACACCUUGAAGUGGAGAGGCGACAAGGGAGUACGUCUGGAUGGCAGAGGGAGCGGGACAAGGCAACAUCACAUGGGAGGCAUGGUCAAAAUCGGCGUCAUAGGAGCAAUCAUGCGUGUGGGGGUCGUACCAGGGAGAAGGAAAAGGGUGGUCGGUUUUCUAGGGCUUUUUUCCUUGCAUCGGGAAAUGGGUUCGGUUGAAAAAAAUGAUGAUGUGGGGAGAUCACGCGAGUGGUGGAUACGUGGGUACCAUUUAACGUACCAACUGCGCUUUAAUAGUAGAGAUUAAGAUGUUGAUAUUUUAUUCAUUUUCUUCUUAGCUGAACAUUCUUUAAACCAAAAAUCUAUGAAACUUGUAAUGUAUCAUGGUCGCAAUUUGUGAAGUAGAACUAACUAUCCUUUGACCAUUCAUUAAUUUUUAUGUACUUGUCGCCCGUGACAACAAAUAUGGAUCAAAUAACUAUGCACUAUGGGCACUAAUAUGGUUACCUUCGAA